rnacentral:snRNA from 1 species
GCGCUCGCUUUGGCAGCAUAUACACUAAAUUUGGAAUGAUACAGAGAACAUUAGCAUGGCCCUUGUGCAAGGAUGACACACAAAUUCAUAAAGCAUGCCAUAUUUUU